ACAGAACGUUCGGUAACAAUCCUACAAAUCGCUCCUUAAGUAAUUACUCCUUAGCAAACCAUAACGAAGUGCUCCACCACCAUAUCUGUAGAUUAAGCCACACUGCUAACUCAAUGUGCUUUGCUUAAAUUUCUCAGCCCUCAGCCUUACUAAGGAUACCUCCAUUGAUGAAGGUAGAGUGAAUUUCUCUCACUGAGCUGAGCUGUUAAUGACCUUUUCCAAUAUGCUAACAGUGAAAUGGUCAACGUACUUUACAGGCUGUGCGGGGGGGAGUGGGGGCUCCAUGUCCAUUUUGCUUGGGGCCCCCAAAUUCCUUGAAACGGCCCUGCCAGUGCGUACUGCUCCUAUGGAAAAAGAUUAUACGUUAGUGUGCACUGUACUGUAGGGCAUCCUAUGGGCAGGCUCCAAGUGCACUAUCCUCGAAGACACAAGGAUCGUCAGACAAGCUGUUGCUCAUCCCCAGUCGUCUAAGUGAUAUAUCAUUGAAAUGACCAACGAAUGAAUGGAGGUGGCUGUUGGCAUAGUCACUGUGUGUUGACGAAAGGCUUGGAGAUACCAGGAUGGACACUGCAGUGGAUAGCAGGAGGAAGUUGGAGUAAAUGGCAUCACUCAGAACAUCUCGCAACACCACUUGACCAGUAUAUAAAAGAAACUGACGGUAUUCCGUCGCCUUCCACCUGUCAACUUCUUUUAGUGACCUUGGUUUUCUGGCAAAUUCUUUAGGAAUGUAUGGCCUCAUGUUAACUAGUUCAUCAGAGAUUUUGUUCACAUCUCUGGAUGGUAGACGUACAGUCAAUGGGCCUUUUAGCCAUAGAUGAAUAAGCCGUCUCACCACACCCAGGCACACCAAGUGCAUGUAAUCAAGAGGUACUUGAGAGACCAUCCCAACAUCUAAGCCCAUAAAGGGGUGGGGACCUAGGUGAUGGUCUUCAUCUAGCUGGUCAGAAAAUGAGGCGUCAGUUCUCAGGGUGCUAUUCGGUAGGGGAGAAGUCAUUCGAUUGUUGAUGUACACACCAUUGUGAGUGCAUUUGUCACAGCCAUGAUAUCCAUUAAAAGACUUUGUGUUUUUGACAAAUGAUCUA